CGAUAUGGGCGCAGCCUGAUCCAGCCAUGCCGCGUGUGUGAAGAAGGCCUUAUGGUUGUAAAGCACUUUAAGCGAGGAGGAGGCUACUUUAGUUAAUACCUAGAGAUAGUGGACGUUACUCGCAGAAUAAGCACCGGCUAACUCUGUGCCAGCAGCCGCGGUAAUAA
rnacentral:rRNA from 1 species